rnacentral:lncRNA from 1 species
UGCCUCUGGCUAACGUAAUGGUAGGUUACCUUGAACACAAACCGGCAUGAUUCAUUAUGCAAGCCAAGCGCACAUUCACGACUCGCUGGAGCACGGUCCCAGCAUAAAUCACCGUUCUAGCACAAUCGCAGUUUCCAUACUACAUAUACUCCUCUCAAACCGUUCGCAGGAAGUGCAGCGGCUGUUGUUUCUCUUGGAGGCCCCUGAGUACUGCAUGCGGGCAUUCCGGGAGCAUGGCGUCAACGGCCAGGACCUACUCAACUUACAAGAAAACGACCUUGAUGACAGGUACACCGCCAGGGUGCUAGAAUAAGACACAGUGCUGACCGCAGCUGGCCGCUUACGGCAACCUCGAUAAGCUGCGUUACUGCGUCUUACAUCCCGAUGGACAUCACCCACCCUUCCUACCACCCAAAACCGAUCCAAUCUACUCAUUGUACUCCCGAGCUCGCACUUUGAAACAUUCCGCAUUUCUCUCUACGUUCCCCACAUACCUUGCACUCCCGGCGUUCUG